UUGAGAACCGCUGGACUAGUAGUUCCAAAUUACUAUAUAAAUUGACAAAAACAUUGAUAUUGUGACACAGCAGUAAGUGGUCAUUAGACUUUAAAAAGCCAUUCCAUUGGCAGCUCUUGAUCCCCCGUGAAAUGGAAAGCACGAGGGACUGAUGAUCACUAGUUUGCCUUAAAAAGCAAGAGUUGCGCCUGAUAGUAAUUUCAAAAUCGAAACAUUCAGUGGUUGUAAAGGGUCCUUAGAGAAUCAAAAUCUGCUUUACUAUUAAAUGUUGGCACUUGCUUAAAGCAAAAGAAACGAGUACAAACUGCUUUGAAUUACUGAUGUAUCCAUAAUCAAGAGAAGGUGUCUGUUUUAAGUGUAAAAUACAAUAUUGACAAACUGGUUGUCUUUUGAAAUGUGUUGCUUUACUGCUCGCCAUGUCAAACUCCUUUUCGUUACACGGGCUUGUGUGAUCAAACACAACCUACAAUGUGGUGCCCUUGCUGCCCUUUCAAUCCCAAGAUGUUGACAGUGUUUUACUCACCAUGUGUAAUAUUUUUAAAGGAUGAACCAACAUCCAUCCAUCCAUUAUCCAACCCUCUAUAUCCUAACUACAGGGUCACGGGGGUCUGCCGGAGCCAAUCCCAGCCAACACAGGGCACAAGGCAGGAAACAAACCCCCACCACAAGACACACACACACAUCAAGCACAAUUUAGGAUCGGCAAUCCACCUAACCUGCAUGUCUUUGGACUGUGGGAGGAAACCCAUGCAGACACGGGGAGAACAUGCAAACUCCAUGCAGGGAGGACCCGGGAAGCGAACCCAAGUCUCCUAACUGCGAGGCAGCAGUGCUACCACUGCACCACCGCGCCGCCCUAUGAACCAACAUUCAAUUUGAAUUACCAUCAGGACAUUAGAAAAGACAUUUCUAAAAAAAAAAAAAAAAAAAACUCCUACACGAGCCAAUUUGACUGGAGCCCCUAAUAAAUAAUGUGUUAUAAAGAAUAAAGAGGACUUGCAUGGCUCCACUGGAAUUACACAAACGAUUGUAAUCCCAAUUUCCUUUAGCACUGCGGAGAUCCUUUGUGAGCAGCAUGGUGUUGCGAACCCAAAAUAAAUUACUGCUCUUUCAUUAAACUGAAGAAUCAAAAGAUCUUCCCAAUGCCAUUUAAAUAUUCCUCAUCAUUUACCAAGGGGAAAAAAAUCUCAAGUGAUUUUUAAAAACUUUGUUUCUUUGGAGGAAACUUCAAUCAGAAAAGCUCAUUGUGCCCAUAACCUCACUCCUUUUGUGAUCAAGUGUUUUACUCCCAGUGUAAAUAACACGUUUCCAAGCAAGAAUGGAGCACAACGCCAAUUGUUUAUGUUAAUAAGUAAUGAAUUCAAAAUUAUAUUUGAGGUAAAGCUUCACGGCUGCAAGAAUAUACCGUGAUAUAUUACUGAAAGCAAUAAUUAUCAGGGCCAUAGUGUUAUAGGCCGGGGAUUACCGGCAAAGCAAUAAAACGUUUGAGAUCACCAUGAACCGUUAGUCAUAUUAAAUUCUUGUGACCAGUUUAGGACUCCAUUGACAAUAAACAUUGUUGGAUUAGAAUCUCUCUCUUCAGAUUGAGCAAAAAAGUUUUUUCUUUUUUAAUCACAGGAAACCAUAAAAUUAGUAAUAGUCCGGCCAGUUUAUAAUUCUUAAUAAGGAAAUAUGUUUUUGCCAAUGCAGGUCAUGGCAUGCCAGAAUUAUGACAGGCUUCACCACCAACUGCACAUCUUAGAGCUCACAGCACCCUACAAUGAUGCCACAUCCUCCCUUUUCUUUGGUCAAAAUGCAAUACUUUUUGCUAGAAAAAAAUAUCUUAAAAUGCAUUAAAGCAGAAAGCGCCUGACAUUCUAUUUGUUUGUUUGUUUCUUUAAAGCUUUAGUCUUGACCCUCGUGGCCCAGAAUUCCAGGUGCCACUUCCUUUUGCGCCCUACUGUGAAGUUACGCCCCAAAACUGCUGAAAAGGCAGAUGUGUGUGCUUCCCUCCCACCCUAUACAGUAGUUCUCUUUCAUUUCUUUGCUCAUUUAUAAACAAUGGCUUUACAAAGAUGUCUUUUGGUAAUGAAUUCAAUUCUUGUUCUUUGUAUGACUUGAAAAAAUAAAUAUCAAAGUAAGUUAUCAUU